rnacentral:ncRNA from 1 species
AUAAAAUUUUUAUGUUUUAUAAAAUUUAUUUAAAAUUUAUUUUACAUAUAAAUUUUAGUGUUAUAUUUUAAUUAUUUUAAUAAUAAUUAAUUUUUUUUUAUAGUAAUUAAAAUUAAAUAUAUUUAAGAAAUUAAGAUUUAGUAAUAUAGAAAUUAAUAACUAAUUUUGUGCCAGCAGUUGCGGUUAAACAAAAAUUAAAUUAAAUUAUUUCAGUUAUAAUAAGUAAAAAUUAAAAUAAAAUAAAUAUUAAAUUAUUAAGUGAAAUUUUAAUUUAAUUAAAAUUUAUUUUAAAUUUAUGAUUUAAUAAAUUUUUUUUAUAAACUAGGAUUAGAUACCCUAUUAUUAAAAAUUUAAUUAAAAAAGCUAAAAUAGUAAAUAAUAUUUUAUUGAAACUUAAAUAAUAUGGCGGUAUUUUAGUUCAUUUAGAGGAAUCUGUCUAAUAAUUGAUAAUCCACGAAUAAAUUUACUUAAUUUAAUAUUUUGUAUAUCAUUGUUAAAAAAAUAUUUUUAAAUAAAAAUAAUAUUUUAAAAUUAAGAUAAAAAAUUAACUCAGAUCAAGAUGCAGAUUAUAAUUAAGAAUAUGAUGGAUUACAAUAAAAAUAUUUAUAUGAAUAAUAAAUUGAAAUAUAAAUUUGAAGGUGGAUUUAAAUGUAAUUUUAAUUAGUUUUUUAAAAUGAUUAUAAAUUAAAAUAUGUACAUAUUGCCCGUCACUUUCAUUUAAAAAUUGAAAUAAGUCGUAACAAAGUAGAGGUACUGGAAAGUGUUUCUAGAAAGA